rnacentral:sRNA from 1 species
GCCUGCCGGGGCGCGAUGCCCCGGAUGAACGACACACCACCGUGCCACGGGAAGAAAAGGGCACAUCAGGGCGUU